CCCUUGUACACACCGCCCGUCACACCAUGGGACGUUGGCUCUACCCGAAGACGGUGUGCUAACCCGAAAGGGAGGCAGCCGGCCACGGUCGGGUCAGCGACGUGGGUG
rnacentral:rRNA from 1 species